AGACAAUCAAAAUAUAUAUUUUUUUAAAUUAAAAAGGAAAAGACAAUAAAAAUAUUAUUAUUUUUUGUCUUAUUUCAUUUCACUAUAAUCAUACUAGUAUAUAAAUCCACAACUAUUAGAUUCUUGAAAUAAAAUUAAAAAAAAUCAAAUUGUUGGGGGGUAACAAUACAAUAUCCAAAUGACAUAUGACAACAUAAAAUAUAUUAGGUGUUUGUGUGUUAUCUUGAGUCUUUCAAUUAAAAACUAAAAUUGUAAACUCAUAAAGGUAUUUAUUUAUUUUCUGGAAUUAAGCAAUUCAUGCGCUAGUAAUGCGCUAGUAUACAUAAAGGUAUUUAUUUAUCUUCUCGGAUUAAGCAAUUCAUGCGCUAUGCUCUAGUAUACAUUUACAAUAUUUAUGGUUUAUGCAUUUCCUUUUUAAAGGAGGCCGACAAUAAAAUCUAUUUUUACAAUCUAAAUCAUCAAAACAGUUGAAUCUAUCCGCUGCAAUAAAAAACACAAAAUAAACUUAUUAAAAUGAUAAAAAAAAUACAACAUAUGAAAUAAAAAAGAACAUUUCAAAUGAAUGAAUAAAACUUAUCUUCAAUUUUCAAAUAGAAAGAAUAAUAUAAUCAUAACAUAAGAAAAAUUUAUUAUUUCUACCAUAUUUCUCCUCGUUAUUUUUAAUAAAUUAUUUGGUUCUUUUUGUUUAUAAAUUAAAGUGCAUCCUUAAAGGGAAAAAGACAAUCAAAUAUUUUUUUUUCUAAAUUAAAAUGAAAUGACAGUAAAAAUAUUAUAUUGUUGUCUAAUUUGAUUUCAUUUCAAUCAUACUAGUGUAUAGACCCCAACUAUUAGAAUUCUUGAAAUGAAAAUGAAAAAUAUUAUUUUUUGGAAGAGAGAGGAGUAAAUCGAAAUAAUUCAAAUGACAUAUGACAAUACAUAAAAUAAAAUAUAUUAGGUAUUUGUGUGUUCUCUCAAUUAAAAUAUAAAUUUGUAAACUCAUAAGGUAUUUAUUUAUCUUAUCGGAUUAAACAAUUGAUGCGCUAGUAUAUAUUUACAAUAAAUUUUGUUUAUGCAUUUUCUUUUUAAAAGGAGGCAGACAAUAAAUUCUGAUUUUACAAUCUCAAUAAUAAAAACAUUUGAAUUUAUCCGGUGCACUAAAAAACAAACAAUAAGGUUAUUAAAAUGAGAUAAAAUACGACGUAUGAAAUAGAAAAGAAAAUUUAAAAUAAAUAAAUAAAACUUACCUUCAAUUUUCGUUCCAAUAAGAAAUAGAAAGAAUAAUAUAAUCACAACAUAAGCAGACUUUAUUAUUUCUACCAUAUUUCUCCUCGUUAUUUUUAAUAAAUUAUUUUGUAACUUUAUAAUCUAUAAAUAAAAGUGUGUCCUCACCUUUUAUUAUUUUUUAAUUGUU
rnacentral:lncRNA from 1 species